CAGAAUAAGGUAGAGUGGAGUGAAGGCAUAUGAGUAAUGUGGCCUGGUGCGUGUGUGUGCAGAGAGGGGUGUGUGUGUGUGAGAGAGAGUUUGAUGCUGCUGUUCCUGCAGUAGUCCUGUAGUCACCCUCGUUGAGCUGGUGAGCCGGUCGGCUGCUGCUGUUGCUGAUACUGCUGCAGGAGAGGAUUCCUAUCUGAUGCUGGGAUAGUCACAAAUACUACAGCAGAGAGAGACGAAGAAAGGUGGAGGUUUCCGCUAACCUUCCUGGGUUCCCCGCUUUGUUUUUAAAAGCACACAGGAGGAAAAAGACUCUUCAGGUGUGAAGAGGAACUCUGAGAGAGGAGGCGCACUUGGCUGGACUGCGCUAGGGGGCGAAGAGCGCAGAAUCCUCUGGUUGUGGCUGUCAGUCAUCUGCCAGGUGUGGAUACGUGAAACCGCAGGAGUGAAACCACUUUAGCCAGAUGUGUGUCUCAAUCAUCACACACAGAUGUUCUGUCUGAGGAGCGGUGGGAGGGAAAGGUGGGCUAGAGCCUGCAGAGGGGGAGAAAUAGACGGCUAGCAGGAAGAGAAGGACAGAUUAUAAUGACUUGAGGAAAAUAUAAUG
ensembl:lncRNA